UGCUUUUCUUUCUCAAAUACACAAAAAGAAGUGACAAAAAAUACAGAAAAAGAAGAAAACAACUCUAAUCCUCCAACAAUGGGUAAACGGAAUUGAAUUCGUCAGAAUGGGUGAACCAAAUUCGUCUCAACAACCGUAAUCCUCCGAAUUCGUCCCCGUCGAAGAACAAUCCGCUGUGGAAGAAGAAAACCCUUCCAUCAACCCUAAUCUGUGAAGAACAACCUCAAUCACUCCGCCGUUAUUAUCCAUCGUUCUCGUGGUUACAAGUUUUUGCGUACUAUUGCUGUUCUUUUGUGUUUGUGGUGCCUUUCUAAUGUUAAGUAUUUUGGUGUUGUAUUAUUGUGUGAUAAGUGUGUUAUUGUGUGUCUGUGUGGGUUUAUUGAAUACUGGGUUCACCAUAACAAUGAUGAUAAUAAUAAGAUAAGCAUCAACAGUAAGACUCUAGAUGAAAAUCAAACUUUCUGCUCAUGUUCAAUUUGAGCAACCAUAAUUAAGUCCAUUUAAUUUAUACUGACUCUAGAUGAAAGUUUACCUGCACUAAUACAAUAUUUAUCUCUUAUCUUAAUUUUGCAUCAUAUGGUUAACGUCUCUUGUUCAACACAGGGAUGGAUCGGAUGAUGGUGGUAAUUAUCUUUGCAUUUUUCUUUACCGAUGCUAUGAUAUCUAUUCCUAACCAGGGUAUGAUAAAUUCUAUUAAGAAGUAAAAUUUGCUACUUACUACUGUUGAAAGAAUCAUGUCGCUGUUGGUUUGAGAUAUGAGAUUUUGAUAGGAGGUUCUAGGUUUUUUCACAUGAGAUUUUGAUAAGAAGAAUCAUAAUCUUAGUUUUGGACCUCUUUAUCUUAGCAAUACUAUACUAAUUGAUUAUUCAUUGAAUCCUUUAAACCUCUUUAUCUCAGUAUAAUCUUACUUAACAUAACAUAUUAGCAUAUAAUUUUGAAAUCAUGGACACAAAAAAGUCAACAUAUAACAAGCUUGUUAAGUUGUUAGCUUAAUGGUAAAAUUGGUUGUAUUGUAAUCCCUCUUGUUUAAGUUCUAUCUGUUCACUUUUUGUUUGAAUUGCAUUUGUUCCAAGACCUUGGCAAAAGUUGUAAAUUUCUUUCAUAGAUCUCUUGUCAAGCUGGGAAAAUAUGAAUACAUAUUUGCAUCGGUCGUUUAUCAUAUACUCCUAUGUUUCUUCUUUUGAUUUUGAUUUGUCAAUUGUCUAUCUUUGUGCCGGUGAUCACAUGCUUAAUUUACUCUAUUUCAUAUACCUCUAUCUUAGCAACCAUACUUAAGUCCAUUCAAUUUGUUAGGAGAGCCAAAAGAUGAUUCUUUAAGACUUAAAAUUGAUUUUGAUGUGUUUAGUGUUUCUAAUAGUGAUUAGAAUUGAUUCUACAUGUGAUUUUGUCUCUAAAUGUGAUUUUUACACUUAAAUUUAUUCACUUUCAUGUGAAUGUAUCUUAAUAGGGUUCUAGCUAUUGCUAUUGCGUGACCUAAUUUGACUUUCUUAUUUGUUCGGAUUUCACGCUUUCAGUUUCGAUUUGUUCCGUAUUGCACGCUUUCAGGUUCGAUUUGUUCGGAUUUCACCUCUUUCAGUUUCGAUUUGUUCCUUUCUGAUUUUUCCUAUUUUGACUUCUUUUGCUCUAAUUUUACUUCUUUUGUUAGGUUUCAGUUUGAUUCCUUUGCAUAUGUUAAAAGGCUAUAGUGGAAGCAGCUGAUACUGAAUUCAUCAUACUUGGCCAGCGAAUUUAUUAAAUUACUUGGCCUUAAGGACUUUAUCUUGAGGAGAUCAUUAAGUGGUAACAGAAACAAUCAGUUGCAUUGGCUACUCAGCACACUACAAGUAAAUUGUAGCAACUGGCAUGGUUGGUAAUGACCUUCUCAAUUUGAGCAUGAGAAAAUGAGUUCUGAGACUGUAGCUGGCAUAUUUGGUUAAGGGAGUUCAAAGAAGCUACCAAGGUUGGUGUACUUUGGACCUUAAACACAGAGAGGUUGCUCGGUACAAGUCUGUUGUGCAGGUUGUUGGCACUGUGCAGGGACAUAAUAUAUCUGGAAAGGAUCAGCGUGUUCAUUGCUCCAUAAAUAUCAACACAGAGACUGGACGCUUGUCAGCAAGAAGACCAAGUUUGCAGAAUCAACCAGCUUUGGAAAAAGACCGAUACAAAAUCCGUCAAGCAUUCAUUGCUGCUCCUGGAAAUUCUCUUAUAGUUGCUGAUUAUGGACAGGUAUUUAUAAAAACCGACGUGGAAUCCCCAUAAUUUUAAAUAAUAAUUACAGAAGAAAUUAGGAUACCACGACGGGUAUAAAAAGACCCGACGUGGAAAGUGUGUACUUACAACGUCGACCACGUUUACUACUGGCCGCGGCCAGUAGUGGAAAGUCUGUUUGGCCAGUAGUUGUAUCUCCUUUCUGCACUAGUGUUUGUGGGAUAUUUUGGUGGAUUAUUUAUUAGUGGAUUAUAUUUUCAUGGAUGUAGACCUUUUUUGUUGACAUUAUAUAUGGUUAUAUGGUAUAAAUAGAAGGUCCAGUAAAAAACUAUUUAAUUUAU